UUGGAGUGUUUAAACUAUUCGCAUUUAGCGUAAUUACUAAUAUGGUUGGAUUUACAUGUCCUUUUUUUUUUUUUCUUUUGACAGAGUUUGGCUCUUGUCACCCAGGCUGGAGUGCAGUGGCGCAAUCUUGGCUCACUGCAACCUCCACCUCUUGGGUUCAAGCAAUUCUCCUGACCUCAGGUGAUCUGCCGCCUUGGCCUCCCAAGUGCUGGGAUUAUAGGCGUGAGCCACCCCACCCGGCCUUGCUAUUAGUUUUCUAUGUCUUAUGUCUUUUUUGUUUCUCGUUUCCUCCCAUAAUGACUUCUUUUGAGGUAAACACAUACUGUUCUAAUAUACUCUUAAUUCCUCUGAUUUCAUUAAUAUUUUUCACCUUUUAGUUAUUUGAUUGGAUGCUGGACAUUGUGAAUUUUACUUUGUUGAGUAGGUUUUUGGAAUUCCGUGUUUCUGGGAUUUGUUCUGGGAUGCAGUGAAAUUACUUGGCAUCUAUUUGAUCCUUUCAAGGAUCAAAGCAAGUCUGGAGUUGGGUGGUGGCCAGGAUGCCCAGGCCCAGGGGGAGCAGGCAGGAAGGAUUGGAAGGCAGUCAGGUGAGGACUGCAGGUAGCCUCUCUUGGUCCCUUGGGGCACAGAACUUGCUGAUAUAUACAAGGUUUCCUUCCUUAGAGUGUAAUAACAGUUUCUAGUCUGGGUUCGGAUCCUUUUGCAUUAGUGAGCUUUGAAUAGAGUUGCUGGGAUUUUUGUACUAUUAAUAUUCUCUCAAAUUUUUAAGUUUGAAAUUCUUGACUCCAGGAAGCAUAGCAUCUCACCCAGGACUUAGAGCCUGAUACAACAGCCAUGUACAGCCCCUGGGUCCCACCUCAAGUUGCCAGGGCCCUGUGGUGUCUAUUCAGACCUGCUUUCCCAAUCUAGGUGGUGUGGGAAUGCAUGCCAAUUUCCAGCCCCCCUCCCUGCCCCUGGUCCCCGAAUUCAGUCAUGGUCAGUGUCUACAGCACAACCUUCUGGCAUGGGAGAAGGUCACCUGAGGUUAACCCUUUACUUGUAGGGUCCUUAAUCAAUCUCUGGCUCCUUUGGAACCAUGGACACGGAAUCAGUCCUGGGUGAGUGAGAACCUAUAUGUCAUUUCAGGAAUCGGUGAGUUUCAAGGAUGUGGCUGUGGACUUCACCCAGGAGGAGUGGGGUCAACUAGACUCCCCUCAGAGGGCCUUGUACCGGGAUGUGAUGUUGGAGAACUACCAGAACCUUCUUGCCCUAGGUAAAAUCCCGCCAGCCCCAGGCUGGGCGUCGGCUGUCAGCCUUCUUCUGCAUGGUAGAUAUUAAGGAGGAUCCCUUCAGUGCCGGCCCUGGUGCCAGAUAUAUCAUGGGGUAGGAAGCAAGGCCUGUGCCUUGGGGCACUCAUGGCCAGGGGCCUCGGCCACGCCAGAAGUCCCCAGGGGACAGCGUGGGAGCUGGUAGCAUCCUUGCUUGGUGUUUCCCCUGGUCCUGGGAUGGGGGCAGGGAGAGAAGAGAAGAAGGUGGGACCCUGGAGCCCAGCUGGCUCUGGAACGGUCCUCGAGCAAUGAAGUAAGGACGUCAGCACACGUGGGGUCUUCAGAGUAUACACUGGGAUUUGGGUUCCAGUCUGAGACCCUCACCGCUUUUGGCCCAGAGGACCUCCUGUUCCCAGAGCGGGUGUCCACUUCACAGGCAUUGUCCUUGUUAGGGGGCGGCCUGUAAGGUCGACUGGGCCUGGAGAGCUGCAGCAUGCCCAGCCCACUUUCUCUCCACGAGCAGGACCUCCACUGCACAAGCCAGAUGUGAUCUCUCAUCUGGAACGAGGCGAGGAGCCAUGGAGCAUGCAGAGGGAAGUCCCCAGAGGGCCCUGUCCAGAAUGGGAGCUGAAGGCGGUGCCCUCUCAACAGCAGGGCAUUUGCAAAGAAGAACCGGCCCAGGAGCCCAUCAUGGAGCGGCCCCUCGGCGGGGCGCAGGCGUGGGGGCGCCAGGCAGGUGCUCUGCAGAGGAGUCAGGCUGCGCCCUGGGCGCCCGCACCUGCCAUGGUCUGGGACGUCCCUGUAGAGGAAUUCCCCCUCAUGUGUCCCCUCUUCGCCCAGCAACGCGUUCCCGAGGGGGGACCCCUUGCUGGACACACGCAAGAACGUCCAGGCCACUGAGGGCAGAACCAAGGCCCCCGCGAGGACUGUGUGCAGGGGAAAACGCCUCCACGCCAAGUGAGCCAGAAAAGUUCCCCCAGGUGCGCCGGCAGCGCGGGGCGGGCGCCGGGAGGGCGAGUUCGUGUGCGGCGAGUGCGGGAAGGCGUUCCGCCAGAGCUCCUCCCUCAGCUGCACCGGCGCUGGCACAGCCGGGAGAAGGCUUACAAGUGCGAUGAAUGCGGCAAGGCCUUCACCCUGGAGCACCAACCUUCUGGAGCACCGGCGCAUCCACACCGGCGAGAAGCCCCUUCUUCUGCGGGCGAGUGCGGGAAGGCCUUCAGCUGCCACUCGUCCCUCAACGUGCACCAGCGCAUCCACACGGGCGAGCGGCCCUACAAGUGCAGCGCCUGCGAGAAGGCCUUCAGCUGCAGGCUCGCUGCUCAGCAUGCACCUGCGGUGCACACGCGCGAGAAGCCCUACCCGCGUGCGGCGAGUGCGGCAAGCCUUCAACCAGCGUACAACACUCACACGCCACCAUCCGCAUCCACACGGCGAGAAGCCCUACCAGUGCGGCUCCUGCUGCAAGGCCUUCACCUGCCACUCAUCCCUCACCCGUGCAUGAGAAGAUCCACAGCGGGGACAAAGCCGUUCAAGUGCAGCGACUGCGAGAAGGCCUUCAACAGCCGCUCGCGCCCUCACCCUCCCACCAGAGGACGCAACACGGGCGAGAAGCCCUUCAAGUGCGCCGACUGCGGAAGGGCUCAGCUGCCACGCGUACCUGCUCGUGCACCGGCGCAUCCACAGCGGCGAGAAGCCCUUCAAGUGCAACGAGUGCGGCAAAGGCCUUCACUCCCACGCCUACCUCAUCGUGGCACCGGCGCAUCCACCAAAGCGAGAAGCCCUUCGACUGCAGCCAGUGUUGGAAGGCCUUCAGCUGCCACUCGUCCCUCAUCGUGCACCAGCGCAUCCACACCGGUGAGAAGCCCUACAAGUGCAAGUGAGUGCGGCAGAGCCUUCAGCCAGAACCACUGUCUCAUUAAACAUCAGAAAAAUCCACCCGGGGAGAAGUCGUUUAAGUGUGGAGAAAUGUGGGGAGAUGUUCAACUGGAGCUCGCACCUCACUGAGCACCAGAGGCUGCACAGCCGAGGGGACGCCCUGCCAUCCAGUUCAACAAACACCUGCUUCAGACACAUACUACGUGCCUGGCAGCCUGCUGGGUGCAGGGGAUCUACUGGACUGAGGACGUGGGAUCCCAUCGACGCGUGGAUAGUGGGGCAAAGCUCUUGUGCGUUGGUUCCCCCCCGAGCUGGCAGGAUUUCUCCCUGGGGAAGCAAACCUCGAAAUAAUUAACAUUGAUGUGCUCUUGGUGUCAGUAGCACACUUCUCUGAGCUACUCAACCAAGAAGGCACCCUGAUCCUCCCUGGCUCCUAGAUCCAGACCCACCUUCCUUCCAGGUUGAGCCUUGCCCUUAUCACCCCAAUCAGGUCUGCAUGCCGGGUGCCUCCUCUAGUUAAAGUCGGUCACCUCCCCAGAAGGGCCACACUCCAGGAGGAGUGUUGAGAGUCAUGUGAGAUAGUCUUGCCACCUGUUUUCCUUGAUGGGCCUGGAAGUUGUUGACAAGGGGAAAGAUCUUUCUUGCCAAUAGAAAGAAGGGAUAGCGUUGGGUGCCAUGGCUCACACCUGUAAUCUUAACACUGUGGGAGGCCAAGGCAAGGGGAUCACUUGAGCCCAGGAGUCUAGGACCAGCCUGGACAACAUGGUGAGACCUCGUCUCUAC
rnacentral:sRNA from 1 species